rnacentral:lncRNA from 1 species
CGUGGCCGGGCUCUCUCGCAGUGCUUGCCCAGGAAGCCUGAGGGACACUCGCAGGUGUAGGAGUCGUCCUGAGUCUCGCAGGAGCCCCCGUUCAGGCAGGGCUCAGAGUCACAGGGGGACGGCACCGUGUGGUUGGUGCCGUAGUCGGUGUGGCACACGCACAGGUAGCUCCCGCCGUACUCCAUGCAGUAGCCGCCAUCUGGACACUGCGUGUUCACAUUGCACGGUGUGGUGGUCACUUCGAAUUCACAGAGCAGGCCAAAAUACCCUGGCAGGCACUGGCAGAUGGUGA